rnacentral:tRNA from 1 species
GCUGGUAUAGCUCAGUUGGUAGAGCAGCUCAUUCGUAAUGAGCAGGUCGCGGGUUCGAGUCCCAUUACCAGCUCCA